GUGCUCGCUUUGGCAGCACAUAUACUAAAAUUGGAACAAUACAAAGAUCAGCAUGGUCCCCUGCACAAGGAUGACACACAAAUUUGUGAAAUGUUCCAUAUUAAA
rnacentral:snRNA from 1 species